UUACAGGAAUUGGCUCCAUGUGUUGAUGACUGACUGAGUACUGGCACACCUGAUGAAGGUGAAACAAUCGGCUGAUGGACCUCCCCCGACUUUAAACCACACUUCCAGUCAACAGCAUAGUUACAAGUCUGUGCGCAUCAAGGGAGAACCCCACUGCACACCUCUGACCAGAACAAAAACACCUCAAACCGGAUUAAGAGCCAUAGUUUUGGCACGUUGUCGAGCAGAGAUGACGAUAGCUAGACACCUGCCCGUUCAGCAGUCGUCAAGUAAACCAGUCGGUCAGUCUGUUUUCGGAAUACCAGUAACAAAUUAAACACGUACUGGCGAAGAAAGGGAUGGAGCAGUUAUUGUGGAGAGGGCGAAGUUAUGAGGGCCAACUUCCUGAUUACUUAGAAUUUCUUCUACACCUACCCUUGUUCCAGUCUGUAGCUGGGAAGGGGUGGGACCACAACGUCACAAUUUAAUGGAAUGCCAUCUUCAUUGAACACAUUAAAGUGGCACCAGUCUCCUUUUAACAAAAUAAAAAAAUAAAAAUUCACUUAAAUCCAAUGACAAGGUAAACAUCUUUGUUGAAUUUACGUUAGUUGACAUCAUUUUCUCAAAAAUGGUUUGUGUUGCAAAUGUAAAAAGCAUAUCAAACAUGCUUUCUACCAAUGAGGUUUCUAUGUGAGAAUUGCCAGAACAAUCUU